rnacentral:miRNA from 1 species
UGUGUGUGUGUGUGUGUGUGUGUGUGUACAUACACAUGCACACACACACACACACACACC